GGAACACGGUGCGAUUCCGUGGCGAUCCCAUCGCCGUAACCGGGGACUGGGGGGACGCGGGGCCCAGGGCCCAGCCACUGCGCGGAAUAUUCCGCGCGGGAAGGCCGUCUCCGCCGGGCUGAUCCGGAAGCCGGAAGAC
rnacentral:ncRNA from 2 species